UAGGGAAUAUUAGUAAUGGGCGCAAGCCUGAACUAGCAACGCCGCGUGUGCGAAGAAGGCCUUCGGGUUGUAAAGCACUUUUUGAGAGGAUGAGGAAGGACGGUACUCUCAGAAUAAGUCUCGGCUAACUACGUGCCUGCAGCCGCGGUAACACGUAGGAGGCGAACGUUAUCCGGAUUUACUGGGCGUAAAGCGCGUGUAGGUGGUUUGGUAAGUAGGGCGUGAAAGCUCCUGGCUCAACUGGGAGAGGCCGUUCUAAACUGCCGAACUAGAGGAUGGUAGAGGGAGGUGGAAUUCCGGGUGUAGCGGUGGAAUGCGCAGAUAUCCGGAGGAACACCAGUGGCGAAGGCGGCCUCCUGGACCACUCCUGACACUCAGACGCGAAAGCUAGGGUAGCAAACGG
rnacentral:rRNA from 1 species